rnacentral:rRNA from 1 species
AUUGAACGCUGGCGACAUGCCUUACACAUGCAAGUCGAACGGCAGCACGGGUGCUUGCACCUGGUGGCGAGUGGCGAACGGGUGAGUAAUACAUCGGAACAUGUCCUGUGGUGGGGGAUAGCCCGGCGAAAGCCGGAUUAAUACCGCAUACGAUCUACGGAUGAAAGCGGGGGACCUUCGGGCCUCGCGCUAUAGGGUUGGCCGAUGGCUGAUUAGCUAGUUGGUGGGGUAAAGGCCUACCAAGGCGACGAUCAGUAGCUGGCCUGAGAGGACGACCAGCCACACUGGGACUGAGACACGGCCCAGACUCCUACGGGAGGCAGCAGUGGGGAAUUUUGGACAAUGGGCGAAAGCCUGAUCCAGCAAUGCCGCGUGUGUGAAGAAGGCCUUCGGGUUGUAAAGCACUUUUGUCCGGAAAGAAAUCCUUGGCCCUAAUACGGUCGGGGGAUGACGGUACCGGAAGAAUAAGCACCGGCUAACUACGU